UUAAAACGAUGCCCAUGUACCAUAAAAGAGAGUUUAAUAUACAUUAAUACAAAUGUAAAAUGUAUUUAAAAUUUUUAAAAUAACACUAAAGAUCAUAGGCUUCAGUAUAUAAAAUAUUUACCGAAAAACUUAAUAUUUUCGUAGGGGUUAAAUCAUAGAUUUUGAGAAAAAUUCAAAAAUAUGAAAAUACUGUUUUAAUGUAUAGUUGCAUCAUUCACAAACCUAUGAUGAAGGUAAAGAGGUUUGUAACCAUUGUUGUCUCCGUUUUUCUAGAGAAUUACGAUUUUAUAGUGGUUAGUCCACCAAUUUAUGGAGUAUUAUGAAGUUUUAAUAAAUUAAUUGACAAAAAAUUAAAAUGAUGCUCAUAUACCAUAAAGAGAGUUUAGUAUACAUUAAUAAAAAUGUAGAAUGUGCUUAGAAAUUUUAAAACAAUACUAAAGAUCAUAAGUAUUAGUAUAUAGAGCAUUUACCGAAAAAAUUAAUAUUUUCGUAGGGUUUAACACAUAGAUUUUGAGAAAAAUCCAAAAAUAUGAAAAUACUGUUUUAAUGCAUAGUUGCAAUAUUGCAUCUUUCAAUAACCUAUGAUAAAAGUCAAAGAGGUUUACAACCAUUGUUUUCUCUGUUUUUUUUAAAUAGCGAUUUUAUAGUGGUUAGUCCACCAAUUUAAGGAGUAUUAUUAAGUUUUACAAAAUUAAUUGACAAACAAUUAAAACGAUGCCUAUGUACCAUGAAAGAGAGUUUAAUACAAAUUAAUAAAAAUGUAGAAUGUGUUUAGAAAUUUUAAAACAACACUAAAGAUCAUAGGCUUCAUAUAUAGAGCAUUUACCGAAAAAAUCAAUAUUUUCGUAGGGGGUUAAAUCAUAGAUUUUGAGAAAAAUUCAAAAAUAUGAAAAUACUGUUUUAAUGCAUAGUUGCAUCAUUCAAAAACCUAUGAUAAAGGUAAAGAGGUUUGGAUCCAUUGUUGUCUCCAUUUUUCUAGAGAAUAGCGAUUUUAUAGUAGUUAGUCCACCAAUUAAUGGAGUAUUAUGAAGUUUUACUAAAUUAAUUGAUAAAAAAAUUAAACGAUGCUCAUAUACCAUAAAGAGAGUUUAAUAUAUAUUAAUACAAAUGUAGAAUGUGUUUAGAAAUUUGAAAACAAUACUAAAGAUCAUAAGUAUUAGUAUAUAGAGCAUUUACC